CAUGCUAGUUGCACGAGCUUACACUCGUGGCGAAAGCUCAGUAACACGUGGUCAAACUACCCUACAGAGAACGAUAACCUCGGGAAACUGAGGCUAAUAGUUCAUACGGGAGUCAUGCUUGAAUGCCGACUCCCCGAAACGCUCCGGCGCUGUAGGAUGUGACUGCGGCCGAUUAGGUAGACGGUGGGGUAACGGCCCACCGUGCCGAUAAUCGGUACGGGUUGUGAGAGCAAGAACCCGGAGACGGAAUCUGAGACAAGAUUCCGGGCCCUACGGGGCGCAGCAGGCGCGAAACCUUUACACUGCACGCAAGUGCGAUAAGGGGACCCCAAGUGCGAGGGCAUAUAGUCCUCGCUUUUCUCGACUGUAAGGCGGUCGAGGAAUAAGAGCUGGGCAAGACCGGUGCCAGCCGCCGCGGUAAUACCGGCAGCUCAAGUGAUGACCGAUAUUAUUGGGCCUAAAGCGUCCGUAGCCGGCCAUGAAGGUUCAUCGGGAAAUCCGCCAGCUCAACUGGCGGGCGUCCGGUGAAAACCACAUGGCUUGGGACCGGAAGGCUCGAGGGGUACGUCCGGGGUAGGAGUGAAAUCCCGUAAUCCUGGACGGACCACCGAUGGCGAAAGCACCUCGAGAAGACGGAUCCGACGGUGAGGGACGAAAGCUAGGGUCUCGAACCGGAUUAGAUACCCGGGUAGUCCUAGCUGUAAACGAUGCUCGCUAGGUGUGGCACAGGGCUACGAGCCCUGUGCUGUGCCGUAAGGAAGCCGUGAAGCGAGCCG
rnacentral:rRNA from 1 species